UACGGAGGAUGCAAGCGUUAUCCGGAAUGAUUGGGCGUAAAGCGUCCGCAGGUGGCUAUGUAAGUCUGCUGUUAAAGAGUCUAGCUCAACUAGAUAAGAGCAGUGGAAACUACAAGGCUAGAGUACGUUCGGGGCAGAGGGAAUUCCUGGUGUAGCGGUGAAAUGCGUAGAGAUCAGGAAGAACACCAGUGGCGAAGGCGCUCUGCUAGGCCGUAACUGACACUGAGGGACGAAAGCUAGGGGAGCGAAUGGG
rnacentral:rRNA from 1 species